GCAAACUUGGUCAUUUAGAGGAAGUAAAAGUCGUAACAAGGUUUCCGUAGGUGAACCUUCGGAAGGAUCAUUACCAUAACGCGGUCGCCCCGCGAUCGUCCCUUCUCAAAUUGCUGGGGCGUUAGGGCGGCCAUAUGCGUUCUUACCACCCUUGAUUUUGAGCACCUUUUUGUUUCCUCGGCAGGGACGCCUGCCAGCGAGGACCCCCCAAAACCUUUUGCAGUAUGCAGUAUUUGUCUGAAAAAAACUUUGAAUAAUCAAAACUUUCAACAAUGGAUCUCUUGGUUCUGGCAUCGAUGAAGAACGCAGC
rnacentral:misc_RNA from 1 species